UACGUAGGGGGCAAGCGUUGUCCGGAUUUAUUGGGCGUAAAGAGCGUGUAGGCGGCCACACAGGUCUGCUGUGAAAGCCCCGGGCUCAACCUGGGAAUGGCAGUGGAUACUGGCAAGCUAGAGUGCGGUAGAGGGGUGUGGAAUUCCCGGUGUAGCGGUGAAAUGCGUAGAGAUCGGGAGGAACACCAGUGGCGAAGGCGGCACCCUGGACCAGCACUGACGCUGAGGCACGAAGGUCAGGGGAGCAAACGGG
rnacentral:rRNA from 1 species